GCUCAUGAUGAACGCUGGCGGCGUGCCUAACACAUGCAAGUCGAACGAAGCAAUUAAGAUGAAGUUUUCGGAUGGAAUCUUGAUUGACUGAGUGGCGGACGGGUGAGUAACGCGUGGAUAACCUGCCUCACACUGGGGGAUAACAGUUAGAAAUGACUGCUAAUACCGCAUAAGCGCACAGUGCCGCAUGGCAGUGUGUGAAAAACUCCGGUGGUGUGAGAUGGAUCCGCGUCUGAUUAGCCAGUUGGCGGGGUAACGGCCCACCAAAGCGACGAUCAGUAGCCGACCUGAGAGGGUGACCGGCCACAUUGGGACUGAGACACGGCCCAAACUCCUACGGGAGGCAGCAGUGGGGAAUAUUGCACAAUGGGCGAAAGCCUGAUGCAGCGACGCCGCGUGAGUGAAGAAGUAUUUCGGUAUGUAAAGCUCUAUCAGCAGGGAAGAAAAUGACGGUACCUGACUAAGAAGCCCCGGCUAACUACGUGCCAGCAGCCGCGGUAAUACGUAGGGGGCAAGCGUUAUCCGGAUUUACUGGGUGUAAAGGGAGCGUAGACGGCGAAGCAAGUCUGAAGUGAAAACCCAGGGCUCAACCCUGGGACUGCUUUGGAAACUGUUUUGCUAGAGUGUCGGAGAGGUAAGUGGAAUUCCUAGUGUAGCGGUGAAAUGCGUAGAUAUUAGGAGGAACACCAGCGGCGAAGGCGGCUUACUGGACGAUAACUGACGUUGAGGCUCGAAAGCGUGGGGAGCAAAACAGGAUUAGAUACCCUGGUAGUCCACGCCGUAAACGAUGAAUGCUAGGUGUUGGGGGGCAAAGCCCUUCGGUGCCGCCGCAAACGCAGUAAGCAUUCCACCUGGGGAGUACGUUCGCAAGAAUGAAACUCAAAGGAAUUGACGGGGGCCCGCACAAGCGGUGGAGCAUGUGGUUUAAUUCGAAGCAACGCGAAGAACCUUACCAAGUCUUGACAUCCCCCUGACGGGCCGGUAACGCGGCCUUUCCUUCGGGACAGGGGAGACAGGUGGUGCAUGGUUGUCGUCAGCUCGUGUCGUGAGAUGUUGGGUUAAGUCCCGCAACGAGCGCAACCCUUAUCCUUAGUAGCCAGCACGUGAAGGUGGGCACUCUAGGGAGACUGCCAGGGAUAACCUGGAGGAAGGUGGGGAUGACGUCAAAUCAUCAUGCCCCUUAUGAUUUGGGCUACACACGUGCUACAAUGGCGUAAACAAAGGGAAGCGAGACAGUGAUGUGGAGCAAAUCCCAAAAAUAACGUCCCAGUUCGGACUGUAGUCUGCAACCCGACUACACGAAGCUGGAAUCGCUAGUAAUCGCGAAUCAGAAUGUCGCGGUGAAUACGUUCCCGGGUCUUGUACACACCGCCCGUCACACCAUGGGAGUCAGCAACGCCCGAAGUCAGUGACCCAACCGAAAGGAGGGAGCUGCCGAAGGCGGGGCAGGUA
rnacentral:rRNA from 1 species